rnacentral:rRNA from 1 species
GACGAACGCUGGCGGCGUGCUUAACACAUGCAAGUCGAACGGUAUUUAGUAAACAGAAGCCUCGGUGGAAGAUUACUAAUGAGAGUGGCGAACGGGUGAGUAACGCGUGAGCAACCUGCCUAUGACAGUGGGAUAGCCUCGGGAAACCGGGAGUAAUACCGCAUAAAAUCGUAGAAACACAUGUUUUAACGGUCAAAGAUUUAUCGGUCAUAGAUGGGCUCGCGUCUGAUUAGCUAGUUGGUGAGAUAACAGCCCACCAAGGCGACGAUCAGUAGCCGGUCUGAGAGGAUGAACGGCUACAUUGGAACUGAGACACGGUCCAAACUCCUACGGGAGGCAGCAGUGGGGAAUAUUGCACAAUGGGGGAAACCCUGAUGCAGCGACGCCGCGUGAACGAAGAAGGUAUUCGUAUCGUAAAGUUCUGUCCUAUGGGAAGAUAAUGACAGUACCAUAGAAGAAAGCUCCGGCUAAAUACGUG